rnacentral:misc_RNA from 1 species
CGCACUGCGAGAAUGUCAUCGAGCAACGCGCAGGCAGAGCUAGGGCCCGGCGGGAGCACGCACUCCAUCGAGCUGGGCCGCCUUAUCUUCCAAGGUGCGGAGUCGAAGGUGUACUACUGCAGCUUCUACGGCGCACCGGCUUUAUGCAAGCAUCGUUUUGUGAAGCGGUACCGUGACCCAAGCCUCGAUGAGCGUCUUCGUACGCAGCGUACGCGUCGCGAGGCACGCGCUCUGGAACGUUGCGUGAAGAAGGGCAUCCGUGCACCGCGUCUGUUAGGUGCUGACUACAUCAACACCUUUCUUGUCAUGUCCUAUGAGGCUGGCCCAACCGUGAAGGAGGCGCUCGACGUCGAGCACGCCGCCUACAUGCGGCAAGUCUCGAAGGGUAAGAGUACGUCUGCGCAGCAGCAACAACCGCAGCCCACACCGUCGCCCUCGGCGUUGGGCAACGCUGCCCUGUCGCCGGUGACCGCGGCCCUUCUGCAGAGCAUUGGUGUCGUGGUGGCGCGGUUGCACAACGCGAACAUCGUCCACGGCGACCUCACGACCUCCAACUUCAUUUGCACAUGCGACGGGCUAGCGGCGGCGGUACCCGGUGCGGAUGGUGCAGAUGCCCUCGCGUCGACUUCGCGGGUGCUGCCAACAGCGGAGGACAUUGUUGUUCUCGAUUUUGGGCUCAUCUCCGAGAAGUAUAGCACAGAGGAGCGCGCGGUGGACCUCUACGUGCUGGAGCGCGCUAUCGCUUCGACCCACCCGUACCUCUCCGCCUUUGCCAGUGACAUUAUUCUUGAAGGUUAUCGCAGCGCCGCUGACCCGAAGAAGGGAGAAGAGGCGCUGCAGCGACUGGAGGCGGUGCGCGCGCGUGGGCGAAAGCGCACCAUGGUCGGCUAGUACUCCUGUAAAAGAGCAAAUAGCUAUAAAUAAAGCAAUGAGGUAGAAGCCGUGUCCCUCCCUCCACAUCCGGUGCAUCCCUCAUGACCGUCGUCGCACGGCCCUGCUUGAGCCCUUGAUGCGUUUUGCGUGUGCGUCUCUCUCCCCCUUGCUUCCUCUGUGCGAUUCGUUGAGGGCGUGUACGAGUGCCGAUGCGCUGCCCCGCGUGAUGGGCGCGUAUAAUUCACUGCAAGGCUAUCCGUGAUAUGUUCGCGAGUCCGUGCCUGUGCGUCAGUCGUAGCGCGCUCGCCCGUGCACCUCAUCUGUGGCACGUGCGCCACCCCCCCCCACCACCACCACCACCACCACUCUCGCCCUCUGUUGCAUCUUUGCUUCGCUCCUCUGCACCUCCGCUGGCGAAACGGCAAACGAAG